rnacentral:rRNA from 1 species
AGGACGAACGCUGGCGGCGUGCUUAACACAUGCAAGUCGAGCGGAAAGGCCUUUCGGGGUACUCGAGCGGCGAACGGGUGAGUAACACGUGAGUAAUCUGCCCAUCGCUUCAGGAUAGCCAUCGGAAACGGUGAUUAAUACUGGAUAUGACAUUCCUUCGCAUGUUGGGGUGUGGAAAGUUUUUUCGGCGGUGGAUGUGCUCGCGGCCUAUCAGCUUGUUGGUGGGGUAAUGGCCUACCAAGGCUUUGACGGGUAGCCGGCCUGGAGAGGGUGACCGG